rnacentral:rRNA from 1 species
AUGAACGCUAGCGGCAGGCCUAACACAUGCAAGCCGAGGGGUAGUCUCUUUCGGGAGAACACGACCGGCGCACGGGUGAGUAACGCGUAUGCAACCUACCUUUGGCACGGGGACAGCCCGGGGAAACCCGGAUUAAUACCCGGUAUAGUCUGUUAUACACCUGUAUAAAAGACGAGAGCUACGGCGGCCAAAGAUGGGCAUGCGUGCCAUUAGUUAGUUGGUAGGGUAAGGGCCUACCAAGGCAUCGAUGGCUACGGGGUCUAAAAGGAUGAGCCCGCACACUGGUACUGAGACACGGACCAGACUCCUACGGGAGGCAGCAGUGAGGAAUAUUGGUCAAUGGGUGGAAGCCUGAACCAGCCAUGCCGCGUGCAGGAAGACGGCCUUAUGGGUUGUAAACUGCUUUUCUACGGGACGAACGGCUCUGACGCGUCAGGGAUUGACGGUACCGUAGGAAUAAGCAUCGGCUAACUCCGUGCCAGCAGCCGCGGUAAUACGGAGGAUGCGAGCGUUAUCCGGAUUUAUUAGGUUUAAAGGGUGCGUAGGCUGGGCAAUAAGUCAGUGGUGAAAGUCCGCGGCUCAACCGUGGGAUUGCCAUUGAAACUGUUGUUCUUGAGUACAGUCGAGGUAGGCGGAAUGUGUAAUGUAGCGGUGAAAUGCAUAGAUAUUACCCAGAACACCGAUUGCGUAGGCAGCUUACCAGCCUGGAACUGACGCUGAUGCACGAAAGCGUGGGGAGCGAACAGGAUUAGAUACCCUGGUAGUCCACGCCGUAAACGAUGAUCACUCGCUGUUGGCAAUAUAGAGUCAGCGGCUGAGCGAAAGCAUUAAGUGAUCCACCUGGGGAGUACGUC